rnacentral:rRNA from 1 species
UGGGGGGAACCUGAUCAACCAUGCCGCGUGUGUAAGAAGGCUUAUGGUUGUACAAGGCACUUUAAGCGAGGAGGAGGCUUACCUAGUUUAAUACCUGAGAUAAGUGGACGUUACUCGCAGAAUAAGCACCGACUAACUCUGUGCCAGCAGCCGCGGUAAUACAGAGGGUGCAAGCGUUAAUCGGAUUUACUGGGCGUAAAGCGCGCGUAGGCGGCCAAUUAAGUCAAAUGUGAAAUCCCCGAGCUUAACUUGGGAAUUGCAUUCGAUACUGGUUGGCUAGAGUGUGGGAGAGGAUGGUAGAAUUCCAGGUGUAGCGGUGAAAUGCGUAGAGAUCUGGAGGAAUACCGAUGGCGAAGGCAGCCAUCUGGCCUAACACUGACGCUGAGGUGCGAAAGCAUGGGGAGCAAACAGGAUUAGAUACCCUGGUAGUCCAUGCCGUAAACGAUGUCUACUAGCCGUUGGGGCCUUUGAGGCUUUAGUGGCGCAGCUAACGCGAUAAGUAGACCGCCUGGGGAGUACGGUCGCAAGACUAAAACUCAAAUGAAUUGACGGGGGCCCGCACAAGCGGUGGAGCAUGUGGUCUAAUUCGAUGCAACGCGAAGAACUUACCUGGCCUUGACAUAGUAGAACUUUCCGAGAUGGUUGGUGCUCGGGGAUCUCU